GACGAACGCUGGCGGCGUGCUUAACACAUGCAAGUCGAACGGAAAGGCCUGCAGCUUGCUGCGGGUACUCGAGUGGCGAACGGGUGAGUAACACGUGGGUGAUCUGCCUUGCACUUCGGGAUAAGCUUGGGAAACUGGGUCUAAUGCCGGAUAGGACAGCUGUUUAGUGUCAGUUGUGGAAAGUUUUUUCGGUGCAAGAUGAGCUCGCGGCCUAUCAGCUUGUUGGUGGGGUAAUGGCCUACCAAGGCGUCGACGGGUAGCCGGCCUGAGAGGGUGUACGGCCACAUUGGGACUGAGAUACGGCCCAGACUCCUACGGGAGGCAGCAGUGGGGAAUAUUGCACAAUGGGCGGAAGCCUGAUGCAGCGACGCCGCGUGGGGGAUGAAGGCCUUCGGGUUGUAAACUCCUUUCGACAGGGACGAAGCUUUUGUGACGGUACCUGUAUAAGAAGCACCGGCUAACUACGUG
rnacentral:rRNA from 1 species